AAAUAAUCAAUUUAAAUUCAAUCAUCAUCCUUACCUUCGAUUAUUUCAAUCCAAUCCAAAUCAAUCUUCAAAACAUACUUAUUGUUGUAAUUAAACAACUCCAGAAUCUUGAUUGUGUGUGUUGCACAGAAGUAGGGAUGGGCAUCUGGCGGUUCUUUAAAAAAUCUUGACUUCAAUACUCCUUUAAGAAACCUAUUGAGACAACAAAUUGCAUAGAAGAUAACAAAGAGGUUAUUCAAAAGUUAAGAGAGUACUAUAAGCAACACCUACAAACAUUAGGUCUUGUACACCACAUAAUUUUUACACGAGAUCUUUGUGAGAUCCAUAUUUUUUAUCAAAAGAUUUAUCAUGAAGCUAUCAUUCUAUAUCACUAAUUCAAGAAACUCACAUCACAAAUGCCAGAGUUUAUCAACCACAUAAAACACAAGAGGCUAAAAAUGGAACAAUUUCCUCUCACAUUAUUACUUAUUAUAUUAUCUAUUUUUCUUUUUUUGAUAUUACUUGGUGUCAUAUUUCAUUUUAGAGAACUGUUACAAAAAUAUCAGAUCAUUUUUAAAGAUUUGUACAGAAAAUAGAGAAGACGAAAGAAUUGCUUUUAGUAUUUCACGUUAGAAAUCUUUAAAGGCAUUAAAAAGAUGGACUGUUUUGUAAUUAAAAAUUAUAAAAAGAAUAUAAUCUUUAUUAGGUGUUGAAAAAUCUGAAACUUUUCCGUGUCACGUGGCAAAAUUUGGCCCUCCCAGAAAAAGAAGUUUAUGCAAGGUGGGGUUUGCAUCAUCUGCAGAAUGUCAACCAGCAUAAAUUCGACCCCACUCUCUUGAAUUUCCCAGCCAUGGUGGAUAUGAAAGGAAUACUUAGAGAGCAAACCCAAGUAUCACAAUCCCAAAACCAAAAACGAAAAAAAUAUCAAUCCUUCAAAAGCAAAAGCGACAAAAAUGGGUAUCGUGGAAGAGGCUCACAACGUGAGAAUAGUUGGGAAGGGGAAUGAAAUCGUGAUUUUGGCUCAUGGCUUUGGAACAGACCAAUCUGUGUGGAAGCACCUCGU
rnacentral:lncRNA from 1 species